GGCCGAAUAGCCCAAUGGUAGAGGCAGGGGUCUUAAACACCCUAUAGUGUGGGUUCGAGUCCCACUUCGGCCACCA
rnacentral:tRNA from 1 species